GGGCAAAUAGUGUAGUUGGUUAUCGCGCCCGCUUCGCAAGGACCGUGCAAAUGAUCACGUGACUCAGAUGCGGGAGGUGCUGGGUUCAAUUCCCAGUUUGUCCA